UCAAGCUGUAGAGUAUGUGGAGCUAUAGGUGGGCUGAAACAAGGAACGAACUAGCACCACGUUAGUUAUAAAAGCGAGCUGAAUAAACGCUCAACGGUGGUACUGUGCUGGUCCUAGCCUAGACCGUGCUAGAGACGCGAGCCUGGACACAAAGGGAAAACACAGCACACCACUAGAAACAAAAUGAGCAGCCCUACUGGAAACAAAAGGAACAACAAUCCCCUUCUUUUGAUUUUUUUCUUUUUUCUUUCUUUCUUUCUUUUUUUUUCUUUAUUUUUUUUCUUUCUCUUUUCUUUUUUUUUGGGGAACCUCAAAACCUGAUUAUAUAAACGAAAUAGUACAAAAUAUCACUUCACCACUCUCACCCUCUCACUAGAGUAAGGUUGAACCUCAAAAUUCAAUAUAUCUAGCACAAGUAUGAAGUGCUAUCUUUCCUUUUGGAUCACGUUGAUGGAAACGCAGAAUAGACCAACAAAUGGCUGCACCUAUUAUCAAGAUCUACUCAAAUUCCAACCCACAAUAGAUUGGACGCAGUUGUGACUAGAUGGUGACAAGAACUCAAAACUCUAAAGGACUAAACUAAAACCAGCACUGGACACGACCGAAGCAAACACUCAUUCAACCAGCCCUAACUAAGUAGUACUAGCCACGGCACAAAGGAUUUAUAGGAUUAAGGAAAACAAAUCUGCUAUAUUUUUUGUCUUUUUUUUGGACUAUAGGAAAAACAAACACGAAGAAUUGGAAAUCUCUCACCGAUAAACCUUGCUCUGAUUACCAACUCAUGUGAACCCACUAGGGUUUUCGCCUGAUCUUUCGAUGAGAGGCGCUGGAUAACUCGAUUAGUGAAUGGAGAUGACGUUCACGGCCCGACUACAGCCUUUUAAGGCCGCGCCUUAGCAACCGAUACACCGCCUCCAAUGGCUGUCACGAUCUUCAAAUUGACCGAACCAAGCUUCCACUUGAGCCUCUUCACCCAACAGUACCAAAUAGUGCGUCCAAAAUGGUUUCUUAGACUAUGGUGCAUUAGGCGCAAACUGUGCACCUAUCUUGCACUAAAACUUACAAUGUCUACAAACGGACCGAAGCAAGAUUCCAUUUGACACACGUCAUCUAGGAGUUCCAUUGGGUGCGUCCAAAUUGAUUUCUAAGCAUAUGGUAUGUUCCUUGCAAAUCAUGCACCUAUCUUGCGUC
rnacentral:lncRNA from 1 species